rnacentral:rRNA from 1 species
UGGGGAAUAUUGGACAAUGGGGGAAACCCUGAUCCAGCAAUGCCGCGUGAGUGAUGAAGGCCUUAGGGUUGUAAAGCUCUUUCGCCCGAGACGAUGAUGACGGUAUCGGGAGAAGAAGCCCCGGCUAAUUCCGUGCCAGCAGCCGCGGUAAUACGGAAGGGGCUAGCGUUGUUCGGAAUUACUGGGCGUAAAGCGCGCGCAGGCGGUUGGACAAGUGAGGCGUGAAAGCCCUGGGCUCAACCUGGGAAUUGCGCUUCAGACUGUUUGACUGGAGUUCGGGAGAGGGUGGUGGAAUUCCCAGUGUAGAGGUGAAAUUCGUAGAUAUUGGGAGGAACACCGGUGGCGAAGGCGGCCGCCUGGCCCGCAACUGACGCUAUAGCGCGAAAGCGUGGGGAGCAAACA